UCCAACGAAAUCUAUGCAGAAGUUUAGAGGGAAGGUUGGCAAGGAAAGGAUCGAAAAGAACUGUCUCCUCCAGGGGAAAGGAAGGCAGAAUAGGGAUUACCCGAAGGGUGGAAGGAAGAAGUAGAGAGGUACAGGGAUGCAGGACAAGAAGGCUGCAGAAGAAACGAGGGGCAGGGAAAGAAGGGCGUCCCGAGAGAGGGACAGCGCGGGGAAAGUGGGCGGACAAGGAGGACCAGUCUCGGCGGCCGAGGGGAAGGAGCAGGGCCUUACCUGCAGGGAGCACUAGAGAAGAAGACACAGUUGGCUUUGCUUUCAGUUACACAUACUGAGGAGAUGCAAAUUCUUCGUAUGAAGUGAUAUACAUUAACCACCAGAGCUGGAAGCAAAGUUUGAGACCAGUGAGUACAGAGGGCCUCAUCAAAAGAUCCUCUGUGUACCUACAUGGCAAAACCUAAUGAGGAAAGACACAGCACUUAGCUGAGGAACCUCCUCCCUUCUCCCUCUC